UCUCCGUAGGUGAACCUGCGGAGGGAUCAUUACUGAGUGAGGGCUCCGGCCCGACCUCCAACCCCAUGUGAACCGAAACCUGUUGCUUCGGGGGCGACCCUGCCGUUCGGCGCGGCGCCCCCGGAGACAUUCUAAACUCUGCAUCUUUGCGUCUGAGUCUUAAUCAAAUUAAACAAAACUUUCAACAACGGAUCUCUUGGUUCUGGCAUCGAUGAAGAACGCAGC
rnacentral:misc_RNA from 1 species